rnacentral:lncRNA from 1 species
CACAGCUCCAUGCUGGUGAGAGGAGGGAUGAACAAUAACAGCCAAAGCAAAGACUGCUGUAGCAGAUGUGAAGGUGCUCCAUGAUAGGACCCAGACUGUAGCUGCCAGAAAGAAGCUCACCCCUAGUACUUCCCAGCACCUCUAAGGCCGAUACAUUUCCUACAGUGAAGCUCUGUCCCAUGGAAGGCAAUGAAGAGAAACCACCAGGGCUGAGAACAGAAUGCAGGCUAAACAAAACUGAUUAAUAAUGGGAGGUAUCCGGCGCCCUAAAGGGCAGAAACAAUGUACAGUGACCCAAACAGCUGCCACCAGAAGCGAUAUUUUGUGCUCCUAACUCAGAAGACUGUCAUCAGAACAUAAA